rnacentral:rRNA from 1 species
AUGUCGCUUCAGACGUCCGACUGUGGCACGCACUGUCUUUUAUUUUCCAUUAUAAGCCCUUUAUGUGGUGUCGCCCUGACGCCCGACUGCGGCAUUGUUAUCUCAUUUGUUUCCUUUCGAGGAGUCAUUCAGACACUCGUCCGGCCCUCAGUAUUACUUUGGGAUUUCGGGAGGACUACCGCCCGACUUCCCUUUUAUUUUCCCAUGCAUUAUUUAUCUCUUUGUCUGAGUGCGAUUGUUAAUCUGUUCAUAUGCAUCAUGUUUACAUUUGUUAUAUCUUAUGUCCGAACUGUCUUGCGAGUACUUUCAGAGUACUCACCUGGCUUGUUGAUUUGGCCAGAUGUUGACGAAGGCGAUCUCAUGGAUGAAGAGUUUGAUAGCGAGUCCGACGCCUAG